CCCUUAGAUGUCCGGGGCCGCACGCGCGCUACACUGACGAAGUCAGCGAGCAUGUCCUACGCCGACAGGUGCGGGGAAUCUUGUCAAACUUCGUCGUGAUGGGGAUUGAUUAUUGAAAUUCUUGAUCAUCAACGAGGAAUUCCUAGUAAGCGCAAGUCAGCAGCUUGCGUUGAUUACGUCCCUGCCCUUUGUACACACCGCCCGUCGCACCUACCGAUUGGAUGGUCCGGUGAAGCCUCGGGAUUGUGGUUCUUGCCGCUUUAUUGUGGCGUGACCGCGAGAACUUGUCUAAACCUUAUCAUCUAGAGGAAGGUGAAGUCGUAACA
rnacentral:rRNA from 1 species